UACGUAGGGGGCUAGCGUUGUCCGGAAUCAUUGGGCGUAAAGAGCGUGUAGGCGGCCCGGUAAGUCCGCUGUGAAAGUCGGGGGCUCAACCCUCGAAUGCCGGUGGAUACUGUCGGGCUAGAGUGCGGAAGAGGCGAGUGGAAUUCCUGGCGUAGCGGUGAAAUGCGCAGAUAUCAGGAGGAACACCAAUUGCGAAGGCAGCUCGCUGGGACGUAACUGACGCUGAGACGCGAAAGCGUGGGGAGCAAACAGG
rnacentral:rRNA from 1 species